GCCACAGGAAGAAAAAGGAGAAGGUUGUUACCAUGGAGUUCAUCAGGAAGUACAUCCACGUCGCUAAGCUGGUGAAGCCUGUCCUGACACUGGAGGCAUCAGACUACAUAGCAGAGGAGUAUUCCAGACUCCGGAGCCAUGACCAAGUCAACAGUGACUCCGCCAGGACGAUGCCUGUGACCGCUCAAGCUCUGGAGACCAUGAGUUGAUUGUCUACAG